rnacentral:rRNA from 1 species
AUUGAACGCUGGCGGAAUGCUUUACACAUGCAAGUCGAACGGCAGCACGGACUUCGGUCUGGUGGCGAGUGGCGAACGGGUGAGUAACAUAUCGGAACGUAUCCAAUAAUGGGGGAUAACUAAUCGAAAGGUUGGCUAAUACCGCAUACGCCCUACGGGGGAAAGCUAGGGACCUUCGGGCCUGGCGUUAAUGGAGCGGCCGAUAUCGGAUUAGCUAGUUGGUGAGGUAAAGGCUCACCAAGGCGACGAUCAGUAGCUGGUCUGAGAGGACGACCAGACACACUGGAACUGAGACACGGUCCAGACUCCUACGGGAGGCAGCAGUGGGGAAUUUUGGACAAUGGGCGCAAGCCUGAUCCAGCCAUUCCGCGUGAGUGAAGAAGGCCUUCGGGUUGUAAAGCUCUUUCGCAAGGGAAGAAAACUUAGCCACUAACAUUGGCUGAGGUUGACGGUACCUUGAUAAGAAGCACCGGCUAACUACGUGCCAGCCGCCGCCGUAAUAC